CACUCCCUUUUUUCGUUCCCCUUCAUUUACCCCUCCCCUUUGAUCCCUUUCCCUUACUUUCCCUCUUCCCCUUCUUUUUCCCCUUCCCCUUCUUUCACUCACGAAUUCUUACUCUCACAGCUUCCAUUGUCUUCCCCUCAUCGUCCACUCCCCUCGCAACCUACACACCUUCUUCACCAUCUACCUCCUGAUAUUUUUACGUUCCAAAUACUUCACAUGGCCAUCCUUUUCUUCCUCCUCCUCCUCCUCCUCCUCCUCCUCCGUCCGCGCACCUGGCCACAAUUAACAGGUGUUCUGGCCUGGCCCCAACACUUGCUAACGAGGCGCGUGAGAGACAUAACUUAGGAGGCCAUAAAGACUCUUAAGGCCGCUUAUUUCCAGUACCGGCGAGGAAAAGGAGGCUGGAAGGGACGUGGGAAAGAAGGGACUGGAAGGGAAGGUAACAGUGUGGAAAGGGAGGAAGGAAAGGAUGAAAGGAAGUAAAAAGGAUGCUGGAAGGGACGCGGGAAAAGAAGGGGCUGGAAGGGAAGGUAAUAGUGUGGAAAGGGAGGAAGAAGAGGAUGAAAGGAAGUAAUGCCAGGGAGGAAAAGGACGCUGGAAGGGACGGGGGAAAGGGGCUGGAAGGGAAAGUAAUAGUGAGGAAAGGAAGGAAGUAGGGUAUGGAACGGGAGAGGAAAUUGAGUCUAGAAUGGACGAGGAAAGAAGAGACGGAAUGGGAGGUAGUAAGAAGAAGGAGGAAGGAAGAAGAGGAUAGAAAUAAAGUAGUGUUUUCCCUUAAGAACAGGAGAGGGAAAUUGAAAGAGAAAAGGAGAAAAGAAAGGAUUGAAAGAAAGGUUACAGUGAGGAGAGGGAGAAACUAAGGAAAGAAAGAGGAGGAGGAAAAAGGGAAUAGAGAGGACGAAGAGGGAGAAAGAAAAGAGAAAAAAUACAAAUCAACACAACUACUCUCGUCUUAAAGGAGAAAAGGGAUAAAAAUGAAGGCAAAAGAGAUGGAAAAAGAGAACAAAAGGGAACUCAACCUUACUACCCGCUCGGAAAAGAAAGGAAGGAAAAGGAGAUAGACAAAGAAAAGGGAAAAAAAGAUGAGCCAUAAAUCUACUGCCCUAGUGAAGAUGGAAAAAAAGGGAAGGAAGGAAACGGAAAAAAAAACAUUCCUACUUCUGUUGUGUGAAAAAGAAAGGCGGGGUGGAACGAAGGAGUGGAUAUAAAAGUGAAUAAUUAGAGAUACUGGAUAAAUAAUGAACAAGGAGAGGUCGAAAGAUAAGUAGAGGGAAAAGAAAGAUUAGAAAAAAAGCGAAAGGCGAUAAGAAAGAGGGAAGGUAGAAGAAAGAGGUUAAAAAAAGAAGGAAAUGGAGGUGUGAGGGGAAGGAAAUGUGGUGGCAAGAAGAUUUAUGAUGAUUGUGAGGAGGAGGGAAAACGGAGGAAAGAAAGAAAGGAGGAAAAGAAGAGAAGAGGAACUAACGAAGAAAGAAGAAAAGGAGGAAAGAAAGAGAGGAAGAAGGUGGAGGGAAGGAAAUAGGAAGAAGAGAAGAGAAAUUAACGAAGAAAGAAGAAAAGGAGGAAAGAAAGAGAGGAAGAAGAAGGAGGGAAGGAAAUAGGAAGAAGAGAAGAGAAAUUAACGAAGAAAGAAGAAAAGGAGGAAAGAAAGAGAGGAAGAAGGUGGAGGGAAGGAAAUAGGAAGAAGAGAAGAGAAAUUAACGAAGAAAGAAGAAAAGGAGGAAAGAAAGAAAGGAAGAAGGAGGAGGGAAAUAAAGAGGAAGAAGAGAAAAGAAGAGGGAUUAACGAAGAAAGAAGAAAAGAAGGAAAGAAAGAGAGGAAGAAAAAGGAGGGAAAGAGAGAGGAAGAAGAGAAUAGAAGAGGAAUUAACGAAGAAAGAAGAAAAGGAGGAAAGAAAGAAAGGAAGAAAAAGGAGGGAAAGAGAGAGGAAGAAGAGAACGAAGAAGGAAGGAAAGAGAGGAUGGAAAAAGAAGGAAGGAAGGAAGAUGGAUGAAAAGAGGAGGAAGAAAGGAGGGAGAUGAGCAGAAGUGGAAGAAAGGGGGAGAAAUGAAGGGAGGAGGAAGAAAAAGAGAGGAAAGAAAGGAAGAGGAAGAAAAAGAGAGAGAUAGAGGGAGGAGGAAGAAAAGGAGAUAAAUGAAAGAAAAUAAUGGAAAAGGUAUAAAGGAAAAGGCAGUGAUGAGAGAGAGAGAGAGAGAGAGAGAGAGAGAGAGAGAGAGAGAGGAAUGUAGUAAACAAUGUCAAGAAUAAUGGUUUCAUCUCAAAUGCUAUCCCUUAUCCCCUUAUUCCUCCCUCUCCUCCUCCUCCUCCUCCUCCUUCCUUGCUAUCUGUCACGUUCCCUUCAUCCUGUUUUUCUCUCCUUCCUUCAUUCCAUCUUCCUUUCCUUUUUUUUUUCACUUUUUUUCCUUCACUUCUUCCUCUCUUUCUUUCCAUCUCUUAUUUAUAAACAAACUAGUAAAGAAAGUGAUAGAGAUAGAUAGAGUAAUGAUAAGAAGAUGAAGGAGAAGAAAAUGAGAGACAGGAAACUAUAAGAAUGCUAUAGUAAAAAUAAUGUGUGUAGAUUGGUGGAAAAGGAAAAGGAUGGGGAAAAGGAGAAGGAAAAGAGAAGAAGAAGGAGAAGAUAAGUUUAGUGAGAACGAAAAACUAUAAAAAGAAAGAAAGGAAAAUGUAAGAAUGCUAUAGUAAAAAUAAAAUAGGUGUAGAUGGAAGAGAAAGAGGGAGAAAAAGGAGAAGAAGAAGAAGGAGAAGGAGAAGAUAAGCUUCAUAAGAAGAACGAAAAAGUAUAAAAAGAAAAAAAAUGGGUGUGGAUGGGAGGAAAGGAGGUAUAAAGAGGAGAAAAAGAAGAAGAGAAGGAAAAGAGAAGAUAAGUUUAGUAAGCAUAACGAAAAAGUAAAAAAAAGAAAGAAAACAUAAAAGAAUGCUAAAGUAAAAAAAAAAUGUAGAUGGGAGGGAAAGAAGGAGAAGAAGGAAAAAAGAAGAAGAUAAGUUUAGUAAGAAAAACGAAAAAAUAUAAAAAGAAAGAAAAAAAAUAAAAGAAUGCUAAAGUGAAAAAAAAAAGAUGUAGAUGGGAACAAAAGAAGGAGAAAGAGGAGUUAAAGAAGAAGAAGGAGAAGAGAAGAAGAAGAUGAUAAGCUUAGUAAGAAGGACGAAAAAGUGUAAAAAAGAAAGAAAGGAAAAUUUAGGAAAGCUAUGGUGAUUAAAGGAAGGAGGAAGAAAGGGGAAGGAAGAAUAAAGAAGAAGAAGGAGAAGAAGGGAGAAGAUAAGCUUUAGUAAGACGCCCAUCGAUAGAAUUAUUGAUCUUUAUUUAUCAAUAUCUAUAUAUAUCCUUCCAUCCAUCUUUUUCGUGUACCUCUCUAUCUAUCUACCAAGCUGUGUGUCUGUUUGUCUGUCUAUCUAUGUAUCUAUCUCUAUCUAUUUGCUUCUUCUAUUCACUAUAAAUCUGUCUGUCAAUUUAUAUCUCUGUUCUCUUAAAGUUAAUAUCUAUCUAUCAGUGUGUGUCUGUCUAUUUCUUCCUCUUACUCUUUUUUCAUCCAUUUCCUUUUCUCCCUCUUUCAUUCCUUUCCUUUUAUUAUUCCUCCUUCUCUCAUUCCUCUUUUUCUCUUCCUCUCUUCUUCCUCCUCUCAUCUCUCUCCCUCUCUUUCAUACAAACAACAUACGUCUAUCUAUUUAUAUAUUUGACUCUUUUAUACACUGCCAGUCUGCUCAUUAAUAUACAAAUCGGUUCUCUUAAACUUGAUCUCUAUCUAGUAAUGUGUCGAUUUAUCUGUCUAACUAUUUAUUUAUCUACUUUGCGUCAUCUGUUCACCAUAAAUCUAACCGUCAGUCAAGCUAUACCUCUGUACUCUUAAACUUAAUAUUGACACCCAUAAAAAAGGAAAAGAAGAUAAAGAAAACGAAAUGAAAGAAAAAAAACGAGUAUAAUUGCAAUAAAACUUCGAAAGGAGAUGAGCGAAAGGAGGAAGAGAAGAAAAUAAUAAUAAUAAUAAUAAUAAUAAUAAUAAUGUGAAGAGAAAUUUAAAAUGCAGACGAAAUAAUGACAUGAAAAAUAAAUAAAUAGAAAGAAAAAGGAAUAAAGAGAGAGAAAAAAGAGAGAAAGAGGAAAAGGCGGAGGAAAGAGAAAUAGCUACCGGAGAGAGAGAGAGAGAGAGAGAGAGAGAGAGAGAGAGAGAGAGAGAGAGAGAGAGAGAGAGAGA